UGGAGGCACUUGAAGGCCAAGAAGAUAUGCUUUCUUCUCUGUUCAAUACAACACUUUCUUCAUCUAGUAUCUCAGAUUGUACAGUUUUGUACAGCUGAUAGUUACAAGAAGGAACCACUGGUACUUGCAUCUUUGGAUUAUUGAAAUUGAUUUGCUGAUAAAAUGUAGGAGAGCCUUUUAAGCUAUUGUCUAAUGUUUCCAAUCUAGGCCAUUGCUGCUGGCUGUUUUCUAUGUAUUCUGUUUGCUUUUUUCCUUGCCUUGAUUGCAAAUGAAACAGUGAUCUUCCACUUACACGACUAUAGAACUCUUCAAACAAGGUGGUGCUCUCAACUUGUGGAAGAUUUGUUAAUGAUGUAUUGGGAUUCUUGCUGUGUGUGCACUCAUUUGCAUGAUCUUCUGCUUCUGAGUUGGAGCCUGAGUACGAUCUGACUCCAUUGCUUUGGAUAACUAAGGAAUCAAAAGAAUCUUGUGAUGACAAUUCUUCUUCUUGAGGGCUGUGACUGUGAGCCUCUACCAUGCUUGUCCUGUCAGUCCACGAGGUCUCACAGUCUCUCCGAUAUUCUGUUGAUUCAUAGCUUACCACAGAGUUCUGAUUGUAGAAAGGAUGAUGUAAAAACUUUUCAUUCCAUUUGAUUGUGUCAUUUGGGUUUAGCAUGCAGGCAUCUGGUUCUUCAACCAAUAUUCUUGUCCCAUCCCUCUCACAGGUUCUGUUUCUUGCUGACUUAAUAGGAAAUCUUGCAGCUAGAGACAUGAAGGCAGAGCUUGAUAGAUGGUCUGAAACAUUUUGAGUAAGGAAGACUCCUAUCACUGAAUCAACAACUGAUCCCUUCCAUUUUGAGAAACGUCUAUCUCCUUGUACAAGAUGCAUUCUUGCAAUGAAUGAAUCAGCUCGUCCACGAAAAACUCUCCUCUCUUCCUCCCACCACAGCUUUUUCUCCUCAUCUGUUCCUUCAACACCUUCACUUCCUUCCUUCCACAUUAACAGUUUCCACACUCUCUCUGUCUCAGGGUCAAGGUCUACUUUUGGCCUUGGCUUACGCUUCUUGAUAAAGUCAAACCCUCCAUGUGGAAUGAGUGUGCCAUCUCCUUUGUAUAGCACAAGUGCAUUUUGCUCUUUGCCCUUCAUUUCAUUGCUCCUUUCUUUCAGAUUGAGACACCCCAUCCGAUGUAUAAUUUCUUCAAUUGUAUUGGAGAAUCUCUGCUUUGGUGGUCGCCCUUUUCUUUUUGCAGGCGGUUGCUGAUCUUUCAAGAUGUCCACAUGAGUUUGUAGCAUUUUACCAUCUCUGAAUGGAAUAGAUUUAGAUUGAGUGUGUCCCAUAGCCUGCUUCAUCAACGCAACAAUGUUCGAAGUUUUGGCUUGUAGUUGGCCUUCAGGUUGACGUCCUGUUUUGGGACAAGUUGGUGGGAGCAUGUUAUAAUUCUCAACUGUGGUUAGGGAGGUAAGGGUUUGGACAUUGGUGGAUCUGUUGGCCUCUACAAUCCUUUCCAUGCAUGAAUUGGGUCCAGAUAAUUUAUGUCGCUUCGACAAAUCUUGUCCAGAAGCCACUUGAUGUGUGUAACAGUCAACAGGAAAUCUGAUGGAUCCAUUAUUUUCUUUCCUCUUGAUAUUAUUGCUGUCCAAGUAUGACUUCAAUAUUUCCAUAUUCCUUUGUGCUUCAGAUGCAACUGAAUGGUUAACAGCCGCGACAAAACGUAACAUACCAUUUGUAUUUGUUGGGAUUCCAUUUUCAAUCUUCCUUUUCUUAGGACUAUCUGAACAAUUUGUACUAAACAUGCAGCUAUUUGAGUGAUAGUGUGAUGGAUUUGCAGUACAGUGGUCUGGCGGAUUUGCAGUACAGUGGCUUGUCUGUUCAACAUGACCAUAUUCUCUCUUGUAUCCCCUACCUUGAAUCAAAUGACCUGAAAUGUCUCCAACUGAUUGAGUAUUCUGAGGCAUCAAUUGUCCCGUCCUCUCAAGGCCUUUGCAAUUAAUUUUUGCUGGUAAGGCAGUAUGGUCAAUUCCUUCCGCACAGAGAUGUUGCUGCAUUCUUAUAUCGGCUUCUCUAGCAUUGGCAUUUAAAUUAUUCAUUUGCACGUCUUUUGUUGAAGCUAGUUGAACUGCAGCUUCUCUUCUGUCUGAAAUUGGAAUGGCUCCAGCUUCUAUUCUGUUUGAAAUUGAGGUGUCAUUAAACAGUGAUUGAUUCGCGGAAGAGGUGAGGUUGCUUAUUGCUCCUGAUUCCUGGUUUUCUAACAGUAGCUCACUGUGUUGUCUCACCUGCAAAUCUGAUUUUGUUCUGCACAUCAUGUUGGUUUUAUUGACUGAUUCUGAAGCGUGAAAACCUGUAUUUGAAUUGAAACUCUCCAUUUUCUUCAGUAUUUCCUGCUGAGCAACUGAAUUGCUCCCCACUUUAUCUCUGGUGUUUUCCAAGUCAUAAAAGUUCAAUGCUCUUCUACAUGAUGGUGCUGCUGUUCCAGCAGAGGGAUACAUAGUCUCACAAAUAUCACCUACAUUUUGAGUUGCUGGAUCUCUCAGGUCCCUUUUGUGGACAUUGUUCUUCCUUUCCUUCAGUUUCUCCUUUGAAUCAGUACUCUCUCCAAUAGAAUCUGGACGUUGAGUUGGUGAUUCUUGCUGGCCCUUCUUGCGCACAUACUUUCUCUUUUCAGUUGUUUUCACCUUCGGAUCAGCUAUUUUUGUGGUUGCAGCCUUGGGAGUCCUGUUCUGUUUUCCUUCCUUGACUACUUUAGGCCUGUGCUUUUUUCGUUUUUGUGUUUUCAGCUGGGGCGUUUUGUUCAGGCCAAUAACUUGGUCACUUUCCUUGCCAGAAUCUUUUGGUUCCUCAAAUGGUGUAGAAAUGACAGCAUACGACGAGUCCACAAUGUUGUGUAAGAGCUCAUCAAAAUUGUGCUGUUUUGGGAUAUAGUCCACAGAUGCUACUAAAUCAUGGGGUUUGUCUAUUCCUUCACUUGAGCCUUUUUCCUGUGGAAAAUUUACUGUUGCAGAGAGCUGGUUCUUCAACUUCUUGGUCAGUUGUGGCGUUUCUGGUGCGAAUUGAAAUGAAUUGGUUGCAGUUGAUGCUGCAUCAGCUUCUAUACUAGGUAGUGAAUUGAUGUCAAGGUUGGGAUCGUAAGGUUUGGGAAGUCCGUACUGGGCCAUCUGGAGUAAGCUACAGUGGACACUUGACCGGUUUGAACUUGAGCAGUGAGUUUGAUUGGGGAAUAGCAAUUCUCCUGAGCUGGAUUCUCUCAAGCCGUUAACUUGGGAAUGGAAAUCUGGAAUCAAAGGCAUUCCUACCAUGCUCAUACUUCUAUUUAUACUUGUUUCUGGACAGGCAAAAGGAGCUGCAUAAUUCAUUGUCAAAAGAUCAACAAAUGAAUUACUAUUCCAACUUCCACUCCCCUGACUCAGUGCCUGUGUAUAGGACCCUGCAAUGUGAUUUAUCAUUCUGUUCCUCUCUGCGAAACUCCCAUUUCUGCCCAGUUGGUGAAUUUGGCCUAAAUCUUGAGCCAUACUGCCGUAAUUCGCUCUGCCCAAUUGAUGAUUCCCAUGCCUGUCAAUUGGCAUGGAAUUAGAUCUUGUUGGAAUAGGCUUUUCUGGAGUUGCUGGCACCCAAUAACCCAUCAACUCAAAUUCUCUCCCUUGGGCUGAAAAUCCCUCUCCUAAAUUGAUCCUUGAAUCCAUACAACCUUCGAUCAAUUCUUUCACUUGUCUAUUGCAAUCUUUUUCUUCCACUGGCUGAAAUUCCCAGUGAAUUACCAAAUUUUCAAGAUUGAAUCAAAUCCUCUCUCCUCCUCUACCAGCCUACCCCAUUGCUUGAACAUGUCCUUCCAAAAAUCCCACGCUCAUUUCUUACUCACCGAUCUGGCACUGAGUCAGCUCAUCGUACUUAAACGAGUCAAUGCCGGAAAAACCCAGUCAGGCUACGGUAAACAAGGGAGGAAACUGAGGAGAGAAGAGAGAGAAGGUAUAGAGAGAGAAAGGAGAAGACAAGAAACCAAAC
rnacentral:misc_RNA from 1 species